UACGUAGGUGGCAAGCGUUGUCCGGAUUUACUGGGCGUAAAGAGCGCGCAGGCGGUCGAUCAAGUCGAGUGUGAAAAGCCCCCGGCUCAACUGGGGAGGGUCAUUCGAUACUGAUCGACUCGAAGGCAGGAGAGGGUAGUGGAAUUCCCGGUGUAGUGGUGAAAUGCGUAGAUAUCGGGAGGAACACCAGUGGCGAAGGCGACUACCUGGCUGUUCUUGACGCUGAGGCGCGAAAGCUAGGGGAGCGAACAGG
rnacentral:rRNA from 1 species